rnacentral:rRNA from 1 species
GAGUUUGAUCCUGGCUCAGGACGAACGCUGGCGGCGCGCCUAACACGUGCAAGUCGAACGAGCGAGAGAGAGCUUGCUUUCUCGAGCGAGUGGCGAACGGGUGAGUAACGCGUGAGGAACCUGCCUCAAAGAGGGGGACAACAGUUGGAAACGACUGCUAAUACCGCAUAAGCCCACGGGUCGGCAUCGACCAGAGGGAAAAGGAGCAAUCCGCUUUGAGAUGGCCUCGCGUCCGAUUAGCUAGUUGGUGAGGUAAUGGCCCACCAAGGCGACGAUCGGUAGCCGGACUGAGAGGUUGAACGGCCACAUUGGGACUGAGACACGGCCCAGACUCCUACGGGAGGCAGCAGUGGGGAAUAUUGCACAAUGGGGGAAACCCUGAUGCAGCGACGCCGCGUGAGCGAAGAAGUAUUUCGGUAUGUAAAGCUCUAUCAGCAGGGAAGAUAAUGACGGUACCUGACUAAGAAGCACCGGCUAAAUACGUGCCAGCCGCCGCGGUAAUUC